UACGUAGGAGGCGAGCGUUGUCCGGAGUUACUGGGCGUAAAGGGUGCGCAGGCGGCGUUCCGCGUGGCGAGAUGAAAUCUCCUGGCUUACCUGGGAGGGUGGUCGCCAGACGGGAGCGCUUGAGGGUCGGAGAGGGGCGUGGAAUUCCGGGUGGAGCGGUGAAAUGCGUAGAGAUCCGGAGGAACACCGACGGCGUAGGCAGCGCCCUGGACGACACCUGACGCUGAGAAGCGAAAGCAUGGGGAGCGAACAGG
rnacentral:rRNA from 1 species